CGGGGAUUGGCGUACUGGCAGCGCACCAGGCUGGGGGUCUGGUAGACCGAGUUCGAUUCUCGGAUCCCCGACCA
rnacentral:tRNA from 1 species